AGAUCAGCCCUGGGGUUCAGAGGGAUCCUGACAGCUACUCCUCAAGAUCCUCUCUGUUGUGAUUCAUCCCCCCGGGGCCCUACAGUUUCUCCUUCCUGACUCUUACAUUUCUUUGGAUGGCAUCAUUAUUGCUGGAGUGCAGUGAUGUGAUCUCGGCUCACUGCAACCCCUGCCUCCUGGAUUCAAGCAAUUCUCCUGCCUCACCCUCCCAAGUAGCUGGGAUUACAGUUAGGUGCCAAGCACUGUGGAUUCUGCCUCUCAGUGUCCAGACACCCAUUUUCCUUCCCACUGUUCCUUCCCCAUGGAGAAGCCUGUGGCUGGCUGACAGCAGAGAGAGAUGCUCAACUUGGAGAAGGUGUUACCUGGGCCAGGUGGGGAAGGUUUGUUUGCAGAGCAAAGAAGUGAAGGAAGUAUUAACCCUUUGCAUGGCCUCCUGAGAAUCCGACAAGACGUAAAUAGCCAAGAAUAUCUGUGAAACUUCAUCACUGAGUUACAAUAUUUAUCACUGCAAGUGUGUUGUUCAUUGACACUAUAAAGCCAUGUGGAAUUAAGCAGCCUUGAAACACAAAAUGGAGAAAGGCUAAGAGCUGAGAAUUGUUGCCUUCAGGGAAAUACAAUCAAUGUCAAGCAAACAACCACCCCAAAAUGGUUAGCUUUAUCAGCAUUCAGGCCUACAGUGAACGCAAAUGUUCCAGAUCUGAGUUUCAAUUUUUAAAGAAUAAACAUAUGCAAAUGACCA
rnacentral:lncRNA from 10 species